rnacentral:rRNA from 1 species
GAUGAACGCUGGCGGCGUGCCUAAUACAUGCAAGUCGAGCGAACAGAUAAGGAGCUUGCUCCUUUGACGUUAGCGGCGGACGGGUGAGUUACACGUGGAUAACCUACCUAUAAGACUGGGAUAAAUUCGGGAAACCGGAGCUAAUACCGGAUAACAUAUUGAACCGCAUGGUUCAAUAGUGAAAGGCGGCUUUGCUGUCACUUAUAGAUGGAUCCGCGCCGUAUUAGCUAGUUGGUAAGGUAACGGCUUACCAAGGCAACGAUACGUAGCCGACCUGAGAGGGUGAUCGGCCACACUGGAACUGAGACACGGUCCAGACUCCUACGGGAGGCAGCAGUAGGGAAUCUUCCGCAAUGGGCGAAAGCCUGACGGAGCAACGCCGCGUGAGUGAUGAAGGUCUUCGGAUCGUAAAACUCUGUUAUCAGGGAAGAACAAAUGUGUAAGUAACUGUGCACAUCUUGACGGUACCUGAUCAGAAAGCCACGGCUAACUCCGUG